rnacentral:misc_RNA from 1 species
AACUGAUUUGCUUUCUAUGACUCUGGCAGUGCUUCAUAUAAAUAGGUAUUGUGCUAUAAACUUGAUCCAUUCCUUAUGAAAACUAGUUUUUCCAUCAAGUCAUAUCAAUCAAAUUAAAUUCUGUGAUCCAUCUUAGGUUACCGAAAAUUAUUCUUCAACUACAUUGCAGAAGGCAAGUGAAUAAAUAGAAAAGAAAUUAAAAAGCUGCUGCAAAGCAGUAAGAACUAGUAAAUAGCAUAGGAGCUAUCAUUCUGAGGAAAAGAAAAUAAAGAACUAGUAAAGUUCUGCAAAAGUGCUUAGCAAAUGAAAAUCUUGCCUUGCUUUUG